GUGCCAGCAGCCGCGGUAAGACGUAGGGAGCGAGCGUUGUCCGGAUUCAUUGGGCGUAAAGAGCGCGUAGGCGGCCGUGCAAGUCGGUUGUGAAAUCCCGGGGCUCAACCCCGGGACUGCGUCCGAUACUGCACGGCUCGAGGCAGGUAGGGGAGAGUGGAAUUCCCGGUGUAGCGGUGAAAUGCGCAGAUAUCGGGAGGAACACCGGUGGCGAAGGCGGCUCUCUGGACCUGUCCUGACGCUGAGGCGCGAAAGCUAGGGGAGCGAACAGGAUUAGAUACCCUGGUAGUCC
rnacentral:rRNA from 1 species